rnacentral:lncRNA from 1 species
AAAACGCCCUGCUGGUCCGGAUUAACAUAACCCCACCCCUACAGGCACUCUAUAACACAAACACCCUGUGACGAUCGUCACAGUAUAAUAGAAGGUGGUAAGAAUGUCCUUAUUAACUCCAAACAAUUUAAAUUAAUACAAUGUGCUCAUGUUUUACAGAGUUAACAAAUAAGGGAAAAAAUGCAGUCUCACAGACACUGCAGGAUGUGAAGACUAAACUUGAAAAAAUCACAACUCUUCAGGAGGACCAUAACACAAAGCACACAAGAAAUAAAGAGUUUGAAGAUAUUUCACAAAAAGUAAAAGACAACACUCAGUGUAUGAUAAAGCUUCAAACUGAGGUCAAGACUUUGCAAAGACACGUAUUUUCACAGACAUCUGAAUCCAACUUUCCUGUAAGAAGAAGAAACAGUGUAGAAGCACUUCCUCCACGUAGUAAGUGAUGAAUUUUAAUAUGCACUAACAUCGAAUGAACCAGUUUAAAAUACUCUCAAUGGCAAAAAUGAUGCACCCAGAUUAUACAGUAUCCUCUUUAGCAAUGAAUCAAGGUUCUGUUUGGAAUCUGAUGACUGUCAGCGUUUAGCAUGGACUUUGGUAUGCACUUUGCUGCUUUGUCACAGUCGGUCAAACCAGUAGUGAUACAGAUACUUACAGGAGAUCCUGUGGCCAUGCAUGUUGCCUCUCUUGGCAGCAGUGUUGGGCACUUACUUUGAAAAAGUAAUUAGUUAUAGUUACUAGUUACUUCUCCAAAAAAGUAAUGGAGUUACUCCACUAUAAAAGUAACUAGUUACCAGUAAAAGUAACUAUUGUUACUUGCUUCGUAAAAAAUGAACAAAAGAAAAUAAAUGAUGUAAUUACUAUUAUUAUUAGAAAAAU